rnacentral:rRNA from 1 species
UACGAAGGGGGCUAGCGUUGCUCGGAAUGACUGGGCGUAAAGGGCGCGUAGGCGGCUUGUACAGUCAGGUGUGAAAUUCCUGGGCUUAACCUGGGGGCUGCACUUGAUACGUAUAGGCUUGAGUAGGGAAGAGGGUCGUGGAAUUCCCAGUGUAGAGGUGAAAUUCGUAGAUAUUCGGAAGAACACCAGUGGCGAAGGCGACUCACUGGACACGUAUUGACGCUGAGGUGCGAAAGCGUGGGGAGCAAACAGGG